GGUUCUAUGAAAUAUAAUAUAGAAUCAGGCCUGCUCAAUGUUAAAUAAAUAGCCGCAGUAUUUUGACUGUGCGAAGGUAGCAUGAUAAUUAGGCUAUUAAUUGUAGUCUUGAAUGAAUGGUCGGACAUAAGACCUUCUUUUUUAUCUAUAUAAAUGAAUUUUAAUAAUUAGUAAAAAUGCUAAUAUACGGCAUAAAGACGAGAAGACCCUAUUGAGUUUUAUAUUUAUUAAUGUGAAUAUAUUUGGUUGGGGCGACUAUUUAAAAGCAUUAAAUGGGAGUGAUCCAUUAAUAAUGAUUAAUAGAAUAAAUUACCGUAGGGAUAACAGCAUAAUUUUAUUGUAGAGUUCAUAUCGAUAAUAAAGUUUGUGACCUCGAUGUUGAAUUAAGAUACCUAAUAGGCGCAGGAGCUUAAGAAGGUGGACUGUUCGUCCAUUAAAUUCUUACA
rnacentral:rRNA from 1 species